rnacentral:rRNA from 1 species
UGGGGAAUAUUGGACAAUGGGCGCAAGCCUGAUCCAGCCAUGCCGCGUGUGUGAAGAAGGUCUUCGGAUUGUAAAGCACUUUAAGUUGGGAGGAAGGGCCAUUACCUAAUACGUGAUGGUUUUGACGUUACCGACAGAAUAAGCACCGGCUAACUCUGUGCCAGCAGCCGCGGUAAUACAGAGGGUGCAAGCGUUAAUCGGAAUUACUGGGCGUAAAGCGCGCGUAGGUGGUUUGUUAAGUUGGAUGUGAAAUCCCCGGGCUCAACCUGGGAACUGCAUUCAAAACUGACAAGCUAGAGUAUGGUAGAGGGUGGUGGAAUUUCCUGUGUAGCGGUGAAAUGCGUAGAUAUAGGAAGGAACACCAGUGGCGAAGGCGACCACCUGGACUGAUACUGACACUGAGGUGCGAAAGCGUGGGGAGCAAACAGGAUUAGAUACCCAAGUAGUCCCUGAGCGGGCUGGCAAGGCGCAU